rnacentral:lncRNA from 1 species
UGGAAUACUAUUUUUGAUGCUGAAAUUGAAUUUAUCAACAUGAAGUCAUUAAUUGUUGAAGGGCGUGACAAUUUCAUCCAAGAGUAUAAUUUAGUUACUUAGUUAUAUAUAUUUUUAACUCGUUUCCUCAUAUUGAUUCUUUUUCAUGUGGACUAAACACAUGACGUAAGAUUCGAUAUCAGGACCUUCGUCCUCUUUGCUAUCAUGUUAAAGUAUUUGACAAUCUCAUCUAAAAACUUAAGUUACCAGAAAAAAUAUACUUUUAUUUACUUCAUUGUAUUUUCAACAGCGGAGUACGCAUUGUCCAUGAAAACAAAAUGUUUUUGGAGUUGGAAUCGGAGUUAGAGUUAUAUUUGAUCAUAAAUAUAAAUUGGAGUUGUUUUUGAUUUUUUUGAAAGAAGUAGGAGUGAAAAAAGUGAAAACAAGUUUUAAUUUUUUCAUUUUUCAAAAUAUAACUUCACGUUGUAUUUAGAAUUCUCAUGAUCAAAUAUCAACUUGGAGUUGUAUUUGAAAUAAAAUAAAAAAGAUUCAAAAAAAGAAAAAAUUCUCAUGAACAGAUGGACGUGUUUUGAUUUAAGUAUUGAAACUUCUAGCUGCAGCAAAGAUGUUAUGAACCAAUUGUUCCACAUUGGAAAAAUAGAGAAAUGCUAAGGGGUUUAUAGGCCAAAUGGGUUCUCCCACCUAUCAGGUUAGUCUUUUGGGUUGGGCUCUCCCGUUUCGUUUAUAACAUUGGGGCUUUCAUUGAGAAUCCCACGCGUUGGGCCGUGACUCGAAGUGGUAGCCUGGACCCAAGAGGGGUGCCAGCUGUGAUCAACUAGGCGUAGCCGUGACCAACAAGGACCGAUCCACGUGUGGAGUCGCGCAUUGGGCCGUGACUCGGAAUGGUGGCCUGCGUGCCAGGAGUGGUGGCCUGGACCCAAGAGGGGUACCAGCUGUGACCAACUGAGCGUAGCCGUGACCAACAAGGAUCGAUCCACGUGUGGAGCCGCGAUUCGGAGUGGUGGCCUGUGCGCCAGGAGUGGUGGCCUGGACCUAAGAGAGCUGUCAGCCGUGACCAACUGGGCUCAGCCGUGACCAACGAGGUCGUUGGUUCUCAAGCGGAGGCGAUUGUUAUGAACCAAUUGUCCCACAUUAGAAAAAUAGAGAAAUUUUAAGGGAUUUAUAGGUCAAAUGGGUUCUCCCACCUUUCAGGCUAGUCUUUUGGGUUGAGCCCUCCCGUUUAAUUUAUAACAAAAGGGGCGUUAAAGGUCUAAGGAUUUCUCCCGUUUAAUUUAUAACAAAAGGGGUGUUAAAGGUCUAAGGAUUUCUGCAGUUUAUGUACUGGCAGGAUGAAGCAUAUAAAUGUAAAGGUUGAACAAUGAGUUAUCCCACCUAUCAGGCUAGUCUUUUGGGUUGAGCCCUUCCGUUUAGUUUAUCACAAAAGGGGUGUUAAAGGUCUAAGGAUUUCCCUAGUUUAUGUAUUGGCAGGAUGAAGCAUAUAAAUGUAAAGGUUGAACCAUUAAAUUUUGAACACUAAUGUUGAUAUUCACCAAUAAUUUUAAAUAUUGGGAGGUAAACAUAAAAUAUGAAAAUGUGUGGAGUGGUGGCCUGGAUCCAAGAGGGGUGUCAGUCGUGACCAAUGAGGAUCGAUCCACGUGUGGAGCCGCAAUUCGGAGUGGUGACCUGUGCGCCAGGAGUGGUGGUCUGGACCUAAGAGAGGUGUCAGCCGUGACCAACUGGGCUCAGCCAUGACCAACGAGGUCGUUGGUUCUCAAGCGGAGGCGAUUGUUAUGAAUCAAUUGUCCCACAUUAGAAAAAUAGAGAAAUUUUAAGGGAUUUAUAGGUCAAAUGAGUUCUCCCACCUAUCAGGGUAGUCUUUUGGGUUGGGCCCUCCCGUUUAGUUUAUAACAAAAGGGGGUGUUAAAGGUCUAAGGAUUUCCGCAGUUUAUGUACUGGCAGGAUGAAGCAUAUAAAUGUAAAGGUUGAACCAUUA